UCUGUGGUUUUACAAUGGAUUGCCAGUUGAGGAGAACCCCGCGGUGAUCAAUCUGGAUAUCACCCCAGAGCAUUCUGGGAAUUAUACUUGUCGAGCAAGAAACCCCAGAUCUGGCCUGCAACGUGAGACCACUCUGGAGAUUGACAUGAUAGGAAAACUAAAAAGCUUAAACCGCCGUUGAGGGCACUGUUUCCAUUCUCUGAUUCCUGAGGCAAGUUGACGCUUCAUCUGUUUUUACAUCGUUGUAAAUUUUGAAUUUUUGAAAUCUAUGUUGAAACCACCUUGUCGAGUUCCUGGGGGGGGGGUCACUCCUGGCUCUCCAUUAAGAUUACAACAACGGAUCAUAUCAAUAUCCAGAUAUCAUUUGCACUUCUGUAAUGAAGGAAUAUAUGCAGUUAUUCAAAUGCAUUGAGAAGUAUGGAAAUUUGCACUCAA